rnacentral:lncRNA from 1 species
AGUACUCCGGGCACGCGGGGGACGCGGACGGGGGCAGGCGCGGCACUUAAAGGGGCCCGAGGGGCGAGGGCGGCCGCCGGGGCGCAGCUCCGCGAGUGGCGUGGGGUUCCCACGGAGCCUGGGUUCUUUCGCACAGCGAGCAUGCAGCUAGGCCGAUCUUUGUUCUUUAGAGACAAAGCCCCUGAACUUGGGUCCUCGCUUUGUUCAGGUACAAGAGCCCGUUCACAGAAGGCGUAUGCUAGGGGGGAAGGCUUGGUACGCGCGGUGGCCGCUUCGGUGGGCUGUGAUUUGAAUCACAUAGCACCCAAGGUUUUGUCAGGUUUCCUCCAUGUCCAAAUUCGAUUCCUCCAGGCUUUCACAAAAUUUAAACUGUUUAUCCAAAUCAUUUGUUCUGUUUGGCGUCUUGGGCCACCAUACCAUGGUUAUAUAAGAAGUUGCAUUUGAAAUAUUAAGUCCCCCCUUUAAAACAUACACACACACACACACACACACACACACACACACACACAGAACUCACUACAUAGAUUUAGAAACUUAAGAUAUUUUAUAGCAAGGGAUUGUUUUUCCUAAUACAUAUUUAACAGUCAAUCAAGGCAUAUCAGCAGCAGAUAUUUGGUUUGAGGAAGGGAGGAGUUCAUGUGUUUGAGUCCGCUUUCCUGCCCUGUCCCACCCCAGUCCCCUUUGGAAUUUAAUCCUUGGUGGUGCAGGGCUCUAAACAGCCAGUGUAGGACACGUUACCAGACUCAAAGCAACUUCUUAAUCUAUGUUUUAGAGCGUUGGGCUUCACGAAUUUUUCCGAUGAUGGGAAAUAGAGAUAAAGUUAGUAAGACCCCAACCAUGCCUCUUCUAGCUUCUCCAUGAGUAGUGAACAGUGACUCACCUGGGCUCUCUUACACUUGUUGAGAGGAGGACUCUUGGAGACUCAAAAAGGAAAAUAUAUUUCCAAAAACAUAAGUAAUCAAAAGAACCUAUUCUGGGCCUAUUUUACUUUGCAUUUUCUUUUUUUAAUUGUGUUAGUUUCUGGACUUGGUUGGGAACUAGCUGUGAAUAAUGUGCUGAAAUUUCACAAAGGUAAGAGAAAGGUGGUAGAAAUGGAAACUUAGUCAUUUGUUUCCUUCGGACUUUUACUGUUAAAAUGGUGGAUUAAGUGUUUAUCCUGAUGAGCAAUCAUCCUUUUGCACAAUUGAGUGUACACAGAACCCUAAUUUGCAACUUUGCUAUUUCUGUUUGCUGAAGGCCUUUACCUCAUAGGGCUGCCAGUGUUGGUCAGGAUGCUAUAUAGAAGGUAUUGGCUUUAUACGUUGUGACUUUCAGAUACAGUCCCAGGUCAUACUGUGGCCAGCAACUCACCACCUUUCCUUACUCCAUCCUUGGUCAGAAAAUGUCCUUUAUUCUCCAGACUAAAAUCUGCAUGUUCCUCAUGAGCCUAGCAGCUUUUGUAACUGCAUAUAGAAGAGGAAUUUGACAUAUUGUGCCUCAUUCCUCACUUCCUAGGACUCUUUCAGUUCCAACCCAGUCCAAAUAGACAAGAUCAUCCAAAAGAGGCAAUUAAAAAAUCAUAACCUGCUCUAGCCAUCAUCUUCAAUUUUGGUUUUGACUAGGCAACUAUAAAGGAAGAGUGUGUAUUUUAAACUAUUAAAGCCAGGACUUCAGUUAAAGGAGACAAAAGGAACCAAAAUGCUUCCCUUCUCCCCUCUUUCUCCCUGUGCUUCCUCUCAGCAUCACAUUCUUCCUCAUCCUGGUUCUGGCCACACCUCCUCCUUUGGAUUUUUAAAGUAUACAAAAAUCCUAGCCAAAAAAGUUCUG